GGUGAAGUCCCUCGCGGAUGGAGCUAUUGAGAGUCGCAGAUACCAGGUGGCUGCAACUGUUUAUUAAAAACACAGCACUGUGCAAAAUCGUAAGAUGACGUAUACGGUGUGACGCCUGCCCGGUGCCGGAAGGUUAAUUGAUGGGGUUAGACUUCGGUCGAAGCUCUUGAUCGAAGCCCCGGUAAACGGCGGCCGUAACUAUAACGGUCCUAAGGUAGCGAAAUUCCUUGUCGGGUAAGUUCCGACCUGCACGAAUGGCGUAAUGAUGGCCACGCUGUCUCCACCCGAGACUCAGUGAAAUUGAAAUCGCUGUGAAGAUGCAGUGUACCCGCGGCUAGACGGAAAGACCCCGUGAACCUUUACUACAGCUUGGCACUGAACAUUGACCCUACAUGUGUAGGAUAGGUGGGAGGCUUUGAAGCACGUACGCCAGUAUGUGUGGAGCCGUCCUUGAAAUACCACCCUUGUAGUGUUGAUGUUCUAACGUCGACCCCUUAUCGGGGUUGCGGACAGUGCCUGGUGGGUAGUUUGACUGGGGCGGUCUCCUCCCAAAGAGUAACGGAGGAGCACGAAGGUGGGCUAAUCACGGUUGGACAUCGUGAGGUUAGUGCAAUGGCAUAAGCCCGCUUGACUGCGAGAAUGACAAUUCGAGCAGGUGCGAAAGCAGGUCAUAGUGAUCCGGUGGUUCUGAAUGGAAGGGCCAUCGCUCAACGGAUAAAAGGUACUCCGGGGAUAACAGGCUGAUACCGCCCAAGAGUUCAUAUCGACGGCGGUGUUUGGCACCUCGAUGUCGGCUCAUCACAUCCUGGGGCUGAAGUCGGUCCCAAGGGUAUGGCUGUUCGCCAUUUAAAGUGGUACGCGAGCUGGGUUUAGAACGUCGUGAGACAGUUCGGUCCCUAUCUGCCGUGGGCGUUGGAAGAUUGAAGGGGGCUGCUCCUAGUACGAGAGGACCGGAGUGGACGAACCUCUGGUGUUCGGGUUGUGUCGCCAGACGCAUUGCCCGGUAGCUAAGUUCGGAAUCGAUAACCGCUGAAAGCAUCUAAGCGGGAAGCGAGCCCUGAGAUGAGUCUUCCCUGAUACUUUAAGUAUCCUAAAGGGUUGUCGGAGACUACGACGUUGAUAGGUCAGGUGUGUAAGUGCUGUGAGGCAUUGAGCUAACUGAUACUAAUUGCCCGUGAGGCUUAACCAUACAACACCCAAGGGGUUU
rnacentral:rRNA from 1 species